UACGUAGGGCGCAAGCGUUGUCCGGAAUUAUUGGGCGUAAAGAGCGCGUAGGCGGCCCGGAAAGUGGGGUGUGAAAACCCGAGGCUCAACCUCGGGCGUGCACUCCAAACUCCCGGGCUCGAGGCAGGUAGGGGAGAUCGGAAUUCCUGGUGUAGCGGUGGAAUGCGCAGAUAUCAGGAGGAACACCGAUGGCGAAGGCAGUUCUCUGGGCCGUAACUGACGCUGAGGAGCGAAAGCGUGGGGAGCGAACAGG
rnacentral:rRNA from 1 species